CGCGGGCUGUUGCCUGGAGAACCCCACCCGGCAACAGGCCCCGCCCCCUCGGGGGCCGCCUCGCCUCGGCGCUGGCGCAGGCGCGGCCCCGGGCCCCGCCCCCUCCGCCAGCGCGCGGCUGCUGGUCGGGGUGAGAGUUGAGCAUCUCGACGCCUGAGCUUCCCUGUUCAGGGGACAGCUGGCUGCCAAUGGCAAAGAGCAAACAUGGUGGCCAGCAUGAGCUUCUUCUUGGAGGUAAAGUGGGACGAACCGAAGCAAAUGGACACCAGGUAAUUAGCAAGAUUACUCAGAUACUCCAGCACCUCCUUGUGUACUUGCCAUUCACAUCUAUGCCAUUGAUGGCCAGCGCUGCAUGAUGUACCAAAGAGGCAAGGCCAAGGGUCAGUGAGGCUUCAGCCCCAGGACUUACUGAGGGCACAAGGGGUCUAGCACAUCCCACCUGCGCCUACCUUCAUCCUGGCCCAUUCUGUGUCUUCAUAGUUUGACUAAUGACUUUUAAACAUUUGACUGAUUUUUUGCCUAAAGAAAAUGAGGAUCAGGGCUGGGGAUUUAGCUCAGCAGCAUAAGCGCCUUGCAAGCAGGCAGUCGUGAGUUCGAUCCCCGUUACCGAUAAAAAGGAAAAAGACAAAAACAAAAAAAAAAAACAAAAAAGAAAAUGAGGAUAAUCAUUUAGUCUUACUGUUUGUAACUUGAGAAGGAAAACUGUGAGCUUUAGAAAAAUAAAAUGCUAUACCUAAUGCCUAGAUUGUUCUUUUCUUUUUGGUGAGAGGGUACUGGAAAUUGAAUCUAAGGCCUUUCAGUGAGCUACAGUGCUAGUCCUUUUUUAUUUUUAUUUUUAAUUUUUGAGAUAGAAUCUCAUGGCUUCACUAAGGUGCUCAGGCUGGGCUCAAAUUUGUCAUCCUUCUGUCUCAGCCUUCAAGAGUCUUAGGAUUACAAAACUGAUUGCAACAAUGCAUCCUAUUCCUUUGUUCUUUUACUUUGCCUCUCAUUCAUUGACAUGGUAAUUGUGUCCUUGACAACCAACUUUAUAAAUAAUAAAUAUUUAUUUUGGCUUAUGAUUUCACAGGUUUCAGUUCAUGCUUAAUUGGUCCAUUGUUUUAGGCCUGUGGUGACAUCAUGGCAAGAGCAUGUAGCAGAGCAAAAUCACCUACUUUGUGGCCAGGAAAUGAGAGAGAAAUAAAGAGUUGGAGUCCUACUAGUUCCUUCAGGUUACACACCCUAUGACCCCAGAUCCACCCACUAGGCCCCAUCUCUUAAAGGUUCCACCCCUUCGCUAUAGCCCCAGAGAUUGGGAAACAAGUCUUUAACAGCUGGGCCUUUAGGGGACUUUCCACAUCCAAAGGACAGAAGUCCUUUUCUUUGAUUUGGGUGGGUCAUUAUGACUGCCUCAAGUAGUAGGGAAUGCUACCUAACUUCUAAGGCUGGGUCAUAAAAGGCCAUUCAGCUCUUGGGUCACUAUUGGCCCAGCCACUGUGCUGGAGAGGAAGCAACACCAUAUCCUUUCAACAGGCUGAUAAUUUAAGCCCUUAAAUUUUAGUGUGUUUGAUUAUACAGUGAGAUAACUGCUACAGACAUUUGAAGGGAAUAUCUGAAGAUUAAGCUUUACAUUGUUUAAAAUUUCCUGAUAGCCUCUAUAUUACUUACAGAAAUAUGCCAGCACAAUAUCUGUGUUUAAAGUGAGAUAGAUUAAACUUGAACUUACAACUUGUCUAAAAUUUAAAAACUAUUCUUAGAAGAAUAUUUGUAAUUUGAUUAUUUUCUUUUCAGAAUGUCAUUUUGACUCUCGGGAAAUUUAUAAUGUAUGAAUUCCUUUUGUAUAUCCUGCCACAGAUAUGCAGGUAACCAAGCUGGAAACCUGGAAACCUUCCCACGUUCCUUAUGUCCCUUCAAUAAACGAAUGUUGCUUAUA